CCAGCUAAAAGUUUGAAAUUUUUGCCAGGAAUAUAUCGAUAUCUAUAUAGCAUUUUACAAUAAUUUACGAUAUUUCUGAGUGUUCUGACCUGACUCGAAUUGGUAAGUAUCUGUUCGUGACCUGACCCGAGCCUUCCAACCCAAGUUUCGGUGUGACACCUCUAGAAAAUAAUAUAGUUAUCUGAAAACCUGCAGGAAGGGAGUUAUAACAAGUGGAAAUAAUGGGACGCUGUACCUGGGUCAAUAUGAUGUCCUCAGAAUCAAACCUUAGUAUAUUCAAUCCCUCUAAGUAAAUAUUACCUUUGAUUUUAAUGUUACAGAACACAGUAAGAAAUUUACAAGACAUCAAAGAACAUCAGUCAUAAAGAAAAGAAACCUGAACAAUCUCAAACUAAGUCAUGUAAUGUCAAAAGAAACAGUGUCCAAUAGACUAAUUAAUCCAGAUAACAUCCGAAGAUGAGCGUAGAUAUAGCUGAAAUAUGUGAAAAUACAAAGAUGGGGAGGGAGUAUGCAUUGCUGGGAAACUAUGAUACAUCACAGGUGUAUUACCAGGGUGUUAUACAGCAGAUUCAGAAACUCCUUGCUUCUAUCUCUGAUCCUGGGAGGAAGGAGAAAUGGCAGAAGGUGAGACAGCAGGUAGCUCAAGAAUAUGAACAUGUGAAAGAUAUAAGUAGCACUCUACAGAGCUUCAAGACAGAUGCCCCGAGACCUGUUAGUGCAGCUGCACCUAGUAAUCAUGGGAACAAUCCUCGCUAUAACUAUGAAGAGCCCACGAGAGACCCUGAUGUAUGGCCCCCUCCCACACCAGUAGAGCACAGGCCAUCACCAAACAUUCGUGGAAAUCGCCCACCGCCAAAAAGAAAUGAACCAUCAAAGGCCCCACCAGGGCGGGCUCAGGCCCCAUCUGGCAGAGGGGGAAAUGACCGCCAAGACCCACGUCGUGGGGCAAGGCCUGGUUAUGAUAAGGUAGAUAAAGACAGGGGUCGUGGUGACGCAAAAGCUGGUGAGAAAGGCCGAAAGAAAGGUGAAAAGGAUGGGGAGUCAGAGGAGAAGAAAUUUGACCUACCAGGCUUUGACAAGGAGUUGGUGGAAAACCUGGAGAGAGAUAUUGUUUCUAAGAACCCCAAUGUACAUUGGAAUGACAUUGCUGGAUUAACUGAAGCUAAACGACUCUUAGAAGAGGCAGUUGUUCUCCCUCUGUGGAUGCCUGACUACUUCAAGGGGAUAAGACGUCCUUGGAAGGGUGUACUUAUGGUGGGUCCCCCAGGAACAGGUAAAACCAUGCUGGCCAAAGCUGUUGCUACUGAAUGUGGAACUACAUUCUUCAAUGUUGCCUCUUCCAGUCUGGGAUCAAAGUAUCGAGGUGAAUCUGAAAAGCUCGUGCGGAUCCUUUUUGAAAUGGCAAGAUUCUAUGCACCCAGCACAAUCUUCAUAGAUGAGAUUGACUCCAUUUGUUCAAAGAGAGGCUCGGAUUCUGAGCAUGAGUCUAGUAGACGCGUCAAAUCUGAAAUCCUCAUACAAAUGGAUGGUGUGUCGGGAGCAGUAGGAGGUGACGAUGCGUCAAACCUGGUUAUCGUCUUAGCUGCAACUAACUUCCCCUGGGAUAUAGAUGAGGCCUUACGAAGACGCUUAGAGAAACGUAUCUAUAUCCCCCUCCCAGAUGCCGAUGGACGUGAACAGCUUUUGAAGCUGAACUUGCGUGAAGUUGAGCUUUCUGAGACUGUUAAUCUGUCUUCUAUUGCUGAGAAAAUCGAGGGCUACUCUGGAGCAGAUAUCACUAACGUUUGCAGAGACGCUGCUAUGAUGUCCAUGAGACGUAGGAUCCAAGGCCUAACACCUGAACAAAUCAGGCAGUUGCCCAAAGAAGAACUUGAUCAACCUGCCUCAGCCAAAGACUUUGAGGAAGCUUUAGCUCGAGUUUCCAAAUCUGUCUCCAAAGAUGACCUGCUGAAGUAUGAAAAAUGGAUGACUGAGUUUGGAUCUGUAUAAUUAACACUGCAAAUGUUUGAUGACAUGGGUCUGAUGAACAUGUUAUGCAGACAACUAAGAAACCAGUUGAACUGAAACUCUUAAGACAAACCUUGUAACACUCCAAAUAACAUGUAUAUCACAUUUCAAUCAUAACGGGAACAUGGACUUCAUUGACUUCAGAGUAUAAUGGUAUAAUCAUAUAUAUGAUAUUUUAUAAGCAUAUUGAAUAUAACAUUGCUUUCAUCAUCAUCAUCAUAUAGCUCAAUAAUAACAAAAUAGCUUGUAAAUAUGCAUUUUAUGAAACUAUGUAGUACCACUUUUAUUUAAGAAAUAUAGGCAGAAGUGCAGGGGUAAUAUUGUUGAAUACACUCUGCAGCGGGGCUAGGCAGAAACGUUUUCUGUAAGCUUUUGUGCCUAUCCCCAAGGGGUUAUUCGACAAUAUUACACCUGCUCUGAGGUCUAUAUUACGAUUCGAACUUGAAACCUCACCAAAAUGUUUCAAAUAUUCAUUAUGGUCCGCCAUUACUAUGGCCUGCCGUUAUGACGUCACACAUUACUAGUAAUGCCAGGGGUAUUGUUCGUGAAUA
rnacentral:misc_RNA from 1 species